AAGGCUUUAGCUUAAUUAAAGUGUCUGAUUGUGCAUUACAGAAGAUGUGGGAUAGAGUCCCGCAAGUCUUA